rnacentral:rRNA from 1 species
AGUGAACGCUGGCGGUAGGCCUAACACAUGCAAGUCGAACGGCAGCACAGUAAGAGCUUGCUCUUACGGGUGGCGAGUGGCGGACGGGUGAGGAAUACAUCGGAAUCUACUUUUUCGUGGGGGAUAACGUAGGGAAACUUACGCUAAUACCGCAUACCACCUACGGGUGAAAGCAGGGGAUCUUCGCACCUUGCGCGAUUGAAUGAGCCGAUGUCGGAUUAGCUAGUUGGCGGGGUAAAGGCCCACCAAGGCGACGAUCCGUAGCUGGUCUGAGAGGAUGAUCAGCCACACUGGAACUGAGACACGGUCCAGACUCCUACGGGAGGCAGCAGUGGGGAAUAUUGGACAAUGGGCGCAAGCCUGAUCCAGCCAUACCGCGUGGGUGAAGAAGGCCUUCGGGUUGUAAAGCCCUUUUGUUGGGAAAGAAAAGCAGCGGGUUAAUACCCCGCUGUUCUGACGGUACCCAAAGAAUAAGCACCGGCUAACUUCGUG